rnacentral:lncRNA from 1 species
AAGGCUUCCACAAACCAUGAGUGACACCUAGCAGCAUAUCAUGGUUAUCCAAGCUAAGUAGAAGUGGUUGGAGAACCUAUCCAGUUACAACUACAAUGCAAUACGGUUCUUCUCUAAUACAAUACUCUUAAUCACAUUGUUUGAGUGAUAGUUUGUUUCAUGUCUACUAUCCAAUGUGAUACUUCUCUAUAUGAUUCGAUUGAAUAUGAUUUGGAACAAACUUCCUAAGUCAUAUUCAUACGCUUUGGCCAAAGACUUCCGAAUCAUAUCUUAGAGUAUUCUCCUUCCACCAUGGAAGGUUAGAGAUCCCUUGUUGUACAUUCAUAUGCCUACAUGACUAGAUAGCUUGAUCCCAACAAUGCCGUGGACACUCCAAUGGAAUGCCAUUUAACAUGAUCAAAGAUCAAGGACCUAACCAUUAGACAUCUAUGAUGCCUCAGGUCAAAUGACUAUUUUGCAUAUUGCAACUAUCGAGUUCUUACAUGACAUGUAUGUUUGAACUCUCUUUUGAUCGUUGUUCAGUGUACUCGAUUACUCUUUCGAGCACCUAUGUGUUUGUCUUAGUGUCCAACACUAAAUGACUUGAGACUUGUCAUACUCGCGCUUGAGUCGACAUAACAC